AGUCGACGGGCACUUCGGUGCUAGUGGCAGACGGGUGAGUAACGCGUGGGACGUGCCUUUCGGUUCGGAAUAAUCCAGGGAAACUUGGACUAAUACCGGAUACGCCCUUCGGGGGAAAGAUUUAUCGCCGAAAGAUCGGCCCGCGUCUGAUUAGCUAGUUGGUGAGGUAAAGGCUCACCAAGGCGACGAUCAGUAGCUGGUCUGAGAGGAUGAUCAGCCACAUUGGGACUGAGACACGGCCCAAACUCCUACGGGAGGCAGCAGUGGGGAAUAUUGGACAAUGGGCGCAAGCCUGAUCCAGCCAUGCCGCGUGAGUGAUGAAGGCCUUAGGGUUGUAAAGCUCUUUUGUCCGGGAAGAUAAUGACUGUACCGGAAGAAUAAGCCCCG
rnacentral:rRNA from 1 species